rnacentral:rRNA from 1 species
AUUGAACGCUGGCGGCAGGCCUAACACAUGCAAGUCGAACGAGUGGCGGACGGGUGAGUAAUGUCUGGGAAACUGCCUGAUGGAGGGGGAUAACUACUGGAAACGGUAGCUAAUACCGCAUACCAUCAGAUGUGCCCAGAUGGGGUUAGCUUGUGGGGGGGGUAACGGCUCACCAAGGCGACGAUCCCUAGCUGGUCUGAGAGGAUGACCAGCCACACUGGAAGUGAGACAGGGUCCAGGCUCCUAGGGGGGGGAGGAGUGGGAAAUAUUGCAAAAGGGGCGAAAGCCAGAUGCAGCCAUGCCGCGUGUAUGAAGAAGGCCUUCGGGUUGAAAAGUACUUUCGGCGGGGAGACGUUACCCGCAGGAGAAGCACCGGCUAACUCCGUGCCAGCCGCCGCGGUAUUC